UUGGUGAAUAGCAUCCACGGUUUAUUUUCGCUGGUUUUUUUUACGUUCUCCUCCCACCUCCCCCGUAACGAUCCCGUCACACGUAACCAAGAAAAACCGGACCACGACGCGAGGCCCCUCGCACGAAAAAAAUCGGACGACCACCAUGUAGCGAUGCCCCUUGCACAAACCAGGGAGCGAGGCCAAUCUAACUCCUCUCUCAAUCCAAUCCUCCCACGCCCGGUUGCCUGCCGACGAGCCGCCGCCGGCCCCGCCGUGCUCGCUCCUUCUCAAUACCUCUCCACCACCGCCGUUGCCUGCGCCCCUGCCGCGUACAUCUCGCGCGUGCCUUAGCUGUGACGGGCUCGUUUGCAGCCGCUGCCGCAUGCGCCCGCCCGGCGAGCUCCGCCGCCAGCCGUUACCUCGCUGCCCUACGUCUCCCAGCCUCCGCACCAGCCCAUCCCCGACCUCCCUUGCACCCGCUGCCAUGUCGAGCAGAUGCCACAGCCCAAAUCUCGAGCCAGGGAAACCCUAAUCGCCCCAAAACUAUAAGGCGCCGCCAGCACCGCAUUUCCCAAACCCUUGCACCACAAGCAGACGACAGGUAAGGGAGGAGAAGAGCAGCGGCGAAGAUGGUGUCGCUAAAGCUACAGAAGCGCCAGGCCUCGAGCGUCCUCAAGUGCGGCAAUGAUAAGGUUUGGAUCCUCAAGUGCGGCAAGGACAAGGUUUGGAUCGAGUCCCACCAGAUCCUCCUCGCUGCUGCGUGAAUCUCAUCCCUCCAGAUCCUCAUCGCCAUUGUUCGGAGGCCCGACAAGGAGAUGCGAUAGUGGGCCUCAUUACCAACGACACCUGCAAUGCCUCGGAGACAGCGACACCAUCGAUGCCCAGUCAUCUUGAUUUGCACUGGCUUAGGAAUUUUUCUUAAAUAUAAGUGUUGAAUCAUCACGUGGAGGUGGUAGUAUGAGAUUUUUCAGGGUAGGAGAUAUCAGACUCCAUGGCAAUGGCCGAUGGCUAUUGUUUCAAUUUCUCACAAGCCAUGAGAAAAUCGGGGUAUAACACUGCCUAAAUUGUGUUACACCCUAUGCUCAUGAUCAGUACGGGACAAGAGUGGCUUGAACGGCAGCAUCUUGAAUCAUCAAAGUUGUGUGAAUUCCCUCUUGCUUGGGUGUUGUAUUUUAGCAGAGAGCAAUAUCACUACACUACUGAACGUUUUCUUGAACAGAAGCCACCUGAACUUAGUUUGAGCUCUCCUAUUGUUAAAUGAAGCUUGAUUUUUAGUAAGCUGAACAAUGUUUCUGAUUUCCUAACUUAAGAGGGUAUUUUCAGUUCUGUUCGUAUUGUUCCAAUCAGUUAUUUUACACUAUUAUAUAAUGGGCAUGCUUAUUUACAGCAUCUUGAUUAUUUUUGUCACGACUAUUUCCUUUCAGAAAAUUGCUGAUCCAUGGUCUUCCUGCAGAUUCCAAUGCUGACUUGAAUCCUGUUAGGAGUUGAUCAAGAUAAUCCGCUGUGUUGUGAUGCAAUCACUGAUUAAUUGGUGUGGAAUGUAGUGCUCUAUUUGAGAGAGAGAUGUGACCAUUAAUUUGAGAUAGAGAUGUGACCAUUUAAGUUUGAGAGAUGGCAAGAGAGUGCUCUACAUACACCAAUAAUGCAUCCACUGUUCAUGCUUCUCUGGUCAGCUCAUAUGUGGUUAUCGAAGCAGGAAAAGUUCUUGAGAAGAACUCUAAUUGCUAUGGACCUCGAGAUUGAUUCUUGCUAUUGUAUAUUGCCGUUGACAUUGGACUUGCUAUUUCCUGUAAGAGGGACAUUGGAAUCGCUGCUCAUCUAGAGGAGUCAGUUCCAAAUCUACGUCGGAAUAAUGCGAUGUUAAUGAUUGGAGGUGAUGUUUUUCUCUUCCAUGCCUAAAUUGUCUUUAGUAUAUGUCCAUAUAAAUAAAAUUGCAGUGUUCCAAUCAUCGAAUCUUCGAUCAAGUGGUUGUUUAAUUCAUAUAUAUCACAAUUGUUAAAUUAAUCAAUUUUUUAGCUAUAUUAUAGUCUGAGCUGAGGGCUUCGUACAAUUUGUACUGCUACUAAUUUGCACUUCUACUAGAUUCAUUUUUUCACAUGAGUUAGUUUAGAGCAGGGUAUUUCGUAAAUGAGUUUAUAUAACUUUUCUAUCUGAGAGUGGAUAUUUUUUGUGUGUUAGAUGAAUUGACUCCUACCGAAAGACUGAUCCCAAGCAGAGCUACAACCUGUCCAUGGAUUACUUGCAGGCCUGCAUUCUAACCAACAACAUUGGGCAGUGAGAGGGAGGGGCGACCAGCGAACACGCGGGAGGCGCAACCACGCAAGAGGUGACGGGGAGCCGGCGGAGAUUGCCAGUGGUGAGCGGGUGGUGGUGACCUCGAGCGGUCAGCACCAGUGGCGAGCAGGCAAUCACCGCGAUGGGCGACCAGCCAAAUCAAUCAGCCAAGGGCCAUUAUGUGCGUGAGUGUGUUAGUAAUGGGUAUCUCUGAAGAUUAUUUCUCAACUCGGCAUGGGGGUAGAGACUAAAAAGACGAUGCCACCGUAGCAUGGCAGACCAUGAACAUAGCGGUCGGGCAAACGAAACUUCGGCAUCUUGAUCGAUCAAGCGAAGCUUUUAAGCGCACAUACAAGUAACUUUGCAAUCAAGUGCUAUUUUUGUUUUUUCAGUUUCACUAAUUGCAUCUAAGGGCUACAAGAUCCCAUGCGCUAGCCAACGUCAAGGUUCAUAUUCAUUUUUAUUAUAUAGAUGGAACGAUAUUGUCUAUAUAUGGACACAAGACGGUACUCAUGUAAUAUUCUAUGAAGACAUGCUCGGACACUUGACAACAUGCCAUUGCUAAAUUAAUCUCUACCAUACUUUUCCAUAACAUCCACUGCGGUAAGGUUGUUCCAGUUUAAUUUAGCAACACUUUGCAUGGUCUAGAUAGCCAAGGUUCUAAAUAAGCUAUUGCUUAUUUUCAUGAUUUCAAAAUGCUUCCGUGAAGCUUUUGUUCCCAUCUAUAAGACCAAUCACCCUUUUCCCUUUAUUUUUUCCUUUACGAGGUCAGCUAUUUAAAUGAUGAUUCAUUAAACUCAAACAUGUAGUCAUGCGAGUGGCGAUGGUGGUGAACAUUAGUCAGAUUGGGGCAGAAGAUGCCGAGCACAAGCAUGCGGCUUGCCCUUGAUUGAGUUGUCAACACUGAUGAUUGGGGUGGUGUCUUCUGGUUGAACAAUGCCAACAUCGCACAGUGAGUCGUCUCAGUUUCAUAUGACCUGUUGGUGAUGUCUCUGAAUACAUGUUGAUUUGAUGAGAUCUAAAUUAAAUCAAAGACUUCAACACGGGAUGUUGCCUCUUUCACCUUAUUGUCAUUCUUAACGAUCUGUUGUGAGUAAAUCAUAGUGCAGUUGCGUCUUAUAUUUUGUUUGGGCCUGUAGGUGUGUGCCUCCUUGCUUUUCCAUUUCUUAUAAGUUGUCGUCGUUUUGUUGCUUAAUUUUGAAGUUUGGAUUUUGUCUUCAACCCGCAGGUCCAGUUAGGUGUGAGCAAGAACACAACAGGUGGAAAGGUUUUCCUUCGAUCUUCAACUCCCAGCCGCUCUAAUAUUUCCAUGUGGAAUGUUCAGCAAAAUGCCUUACAACGAAUACCCUAGAGAAAUUGUUGUUGUUGCGUUUUGACUUUUGAGUGAUACCUCUAGCUGUGGUAGAAAUGUAUUUAGAAUACAUUGACUGGUAUAAAUGUAUUUAGAAUACAUUGAAGUGCAAAUCCAUGUCAUGGUCAUGCUAUGGGAGGAGAAAUUGGGAAAAUAUCCCAUAUGAGCUUUAUUUGUACA